GACAGUGUGGCAUAGCGGUUUGAGUGUUGGAUCAUGACUUUUGAGACCAGAGUUUGAAUCUCUGCUCGGCCA